GACGAACGCUGGCGGCGUGCUUAACACAUGCAAGUCGAACGGAAAGGCCCUGCUUGCAGGGUACUCGAGUGGCGAACGGGUGAGUAACACGUGGGUGAUCUGCCCUGCACUUCGGGAUAAGCCUGGGAAACUGGGUCUAAUACCGGAUAGGAGCCAUUUUUAGUGUGAUGGUUGGAAAGUUUUUUCGGUGUAGGAUGAGCUCGCGGCCUAUCAGCUUGUUGGUGGGGUAAUGGCCUACCAAGGCGGCGACGGGUAGCCGGCCUGAGAGGGUGGACGGCCACAUUGGGACUGAGAUACGGCCCAGACGCCUACGGGAGGCAGCAGGGGGGAAUAUUGCACAAUGGGCGCAAGCCUGAUGCAGCGACGCCGCGUGGGGGAUGACGGCCUUCGGGUUGUAAACUCCUUUCGCUAGGGACGAAGCUUUUUGUGACGGUACCUAGAUAAGAAGCACCGGCUAACUACGUG
rnacentral:rRNA from 1 species